rnacentral:tRNA from 1 species
GUCUGGGUAGCUCAGUCGGUUGAGCAUCUGACUUCAGCUCAGGUCAUGAUCUCGCGGUCUGUGAGUUCAAGCCCCACGUCAGGCU